AUUGAACGCUGGCGGCAUGCCUUACACAUGCAAGUCGAACGGCAGCGGGGGAGAAGCUUGCUUUUCCUGCCGGCGAGUGGCGAACGGGUGAGUAAUACAUCGGAACGUGCCCUGUAGUGGGGGAUAACUAGUCGAAAGAUUAGCUAAUACCGCAUACGACCUGAGGGUGAAAGGGGGGGACCGGAAGGCCUCAUGAUAUAGGAGGUGCCGAUGUCUGAUUAGCUAGGUGGUGGGGCAAAGGCCUACCAAGGCGACGAUCAGUAGCUGGUCUGAGAGGACGAUCAGCCACACUGGGACUGAGACACGGCCCAGACUCCUACGGGAGGCAGCAGUGGGGAAUUUUGGACAAUGGGCGAAAGCCUGAUCCAGCAAUGCCGCGUGUGUGAAGAAGGCCUUCGGGUUGUAAAGCACUUUUGUCCGGAAAGAAAUGGCUCUGGUUAAUACCUGGGGUCGAUGACGGUACCGGAAGAAUAAGGACCGGCUAACUACGUGCCAGCCGCCGCGGUAA
rnacentral:rRNA from 1 species